rnacentral:rRNA from 1 species
AUUGAACGCUGGCGGCAGGCCUAACACAUGCAAGUCGAGCGGAUGAAGGGAGCUUGCUCCUGGAUUCAGCGGCGGACGGGUGAGUAAUGCCUAGGAAUCUGCCUGGUAGUGGGGGAUAACGUCCGGAAACGGGCGCUAAUACCGCAUACGUCCUGAGGGAGAAAGUGGGGGAUCUUCGGACCUCACGCUAUCAGAUGAGCCUAGGUCGGAUUAGCUAGUUGGUGGGGUAAAGGCCUACCAAGGCGACGAUCCGUAACUGGUCUGAGAGGAUGAUCAGUCACACGAGAACUUAGACACGCUCCAGACGCCUAAGGGAGGCAGCAGUGGGGAAUAUUAGACAAUGGGCGAGAGCCUGAUCCAGCCAUGCCGCGUGUGUGAAGAAGGUCUUCGGAUUGUAAAGCACUUUAAGUUGGGAGGAAGGGCAGUAAGUUAAUACCUUGCUGUUUUGACGUUACCAACAGAAUAAGCACCGGCUAACUUCGUG